rnacentral:rRNA from 1 species
CAAUAGCGUAUAUUUAAGUUGUUGCAGUUAAAAAGCUCGUAGUUGGAUUUCGGGUGGGACGCAGCGGUCUCGCAUUGCGUUUGUACUGCUGCAGCCCUCCUUCUUGCCGGGGGCGGCCUCUCGGACUUCACUGUCUGGGGGUCAGAAUCGGCGAUGUUACUUUGAGUAAAUUAGAGUGUUCAAAGCAAGCUUACGCUCUGAAUAUAAUAGCAUGGGAUAACACGACAGGACUCUGGCCUAUCGUGUUGGUCUAUAGGACCAGAGUAAUGAUUAAGAGGGACAGUCGGGGGCAUUCGUAUUCCGUUGUCAGAGGUGAAAUUCUUGGAUUUACGGAAGACGAACAUCUACGAAAGCAUUUGCCAAGGAUGUUUUCAUUG